rnacentral:rRNA from 1 species
GACGAACGCUGGCGGCGUGCUUAACACAUGCAAGUCGAACGAUGACGCCCGAGCUUGCUCGGUCUGAUUAGUGGCGAACGGGUGAGUAACACGUGGGCAACCUGCCCUUCACUCUGGGAUAACCUCGGGAAAUAGGGGCUAAUACCGGAUAUGAGCUCCUGUUGCAUGGCGGGUGUUGGAAAGUUUUUCGGUGAAGGAUGGGCUCGCGGCCUAUCAGUUUGUUGGUGAGGUAGUGGCUCACCAAGGCGAUGACGGGUAGCCGGCCUGAGAGGGCGACCGGCCACACUGGGACUGAGACACGGCCCAGACUCCUACGGGAGGCAGCAGUGGGGAAUAUUGCACAAUGGGCGAAAGCCUGAUGCAGCGACGCCGCGUGAGGGAUGACGGCCUUCGGGUUGUAAACCUCUUUCAGCAGGGAAGAAGCGAAAGUGACGGUACCUGCAGAAGAAGCGCCGGCUAACUACGUG